UGGAGUUUAUUCGGGAAGCCUCUAUUGACAUCCAGUUUUACUGUUUCGCAGCAUCAAGCUCUUAGAUAGAAUUUUAGUUUGUUGGGGAAUCUCUGUCGAUAUCCCUCUUGGCUGUUUUGCAGUAUUAAACGCAGCCAUCAAACUCUUUGAUAGAAAGGUUGGGCUCAAAACAAAUAGGAGAGGCCUCCGGAGUAGAAAGGAGAAGAGGAGAAAUCCAAGAUUUUGGUCGACUUUGGGAGGGAGGUUUGGGUUUUUUUUGGAAGAAGUGCAUGCCAAGAUUUUGAUCGAGUUUGGGAGAGAGCUUUCAGCAAAAGAAGAGUUGUGCACACGAUAUCAACCUCCUCCAUAGUAGUGAGAGCGAAGAGUAGCGGGGUGUAGUAUUUCAGGAAUUCCCUGCUCCAAUUCCGCGCCUUCUCAGUUCACUCAAGAAAGUAGAUAAAGAUGCUCUGCCUCCACGAGCUUGAGAAGCUCACGAUUUCUACAUUGAUAAAGAGGAGGGCUUCAUUAUUCGUUUCCAGGUUGAAACUGAAUUUGAAGAACAAUGAGCAGAUGGUUAGGUGGAAGAAUGGUUAAAUAUGAUUCAAGACAUUGAACAUGUUCAAGAUCAGCAGACUGUUAUUUAUCUUUACUAUUUGAGCACAGUGGAAGAACUGGUGGAUUUCCUGCAAAACUAAAGGAGGUAGUGAUGAUAUUAGAAGCAUCAAGAUAAGUCAUGGAGCAAGCCACUGAUGCAGAGAAAGCAACUGCCGUGUCUGAGUUUCGUGAUUUCAAGCGCAGGAACAAUGUAUUCUUUCAUCAAAUCUGUUAUGAUUACAAAAUCUGCCCGCGGCAUCGCGCGGGUUCUAGCCGAAACACUGUUCCGAGCACUGUUCCUAGCACUGUUCAUUACUGUUCCUUGACACUGUUCAUUCAAAUUGGCGGUUUUGCCCUCAUUCGAGAUUUUUUUACGGUUUUGCCACUGAGCUAUACUAGAUGCUUCCAUCAGUUUCUUCUUUCUUCUAUGGCCAUCGGUUUCUUCUCUCUUUUGUUGGUUUCUUGAUUUCAUUAGUGAAUCACGACCCUUGAUCUGUGCGUGCCCUAUGUAGUUUCGCAGCAGGAGAUAGUUUCUCUGUACGAGAGGUUCUGUCAGCUCAAUCAUAGUGGCGGAGGUUUCAUCUUCGUCGACGAGUUUUUGUCCGUACCGGAAUUCGCACCCAAUCCUCUCUCUCAGUUUUGGGUGGGUGGACGUAGAUACUGGGGGAGAGGGAUUGGAGCAAGACCACACUUGCUCUGAGAAGAUGCUUCUGUAUCAACACCCAAUUUCCUUUUCUCAUCAGAGAGAUUUGAUCCAACAACAAAGCUACUUAGUUUUGGCUGAGGAUACAACAGAGGAUUAAAAACACAGAGCUCAGGAUGUUAACCGAGGAGCAAGAAAAUGAACUUCUGAACUUUACACCAUUCAUUCCAUUGAUGUCUCCCUUGGUGAGUUUCCUCUCUGAACUAUUCUGUUUCUAUUUUGAUGGUACCCGUAGUCUGUUAUGGACUUCAAAUACUACUCUUUUAUUAGUAUUUAACUCGAUGCUUAAAACUUUAAGAUUAUAUACAAUGAUAUGUAAUUAGAGAACAACCAUUUUUCUAUAAUGCUUCAUUUGGCAUCUGAUAAUCUUUUGUACCAAUGGUUCUUAUAUUGCUUUUUGAAGUUCGGUACUGAUUAUGAAAAGAACAAUUUCAAAAGUAUAAGUAAAAAGUGAAGCAAUAUAACAAAUAUUAAGCUAAUGAUGUCAAUAAUAAUGUCUUUUCCAGUUUCAUUGACUAACUUGCUUUCCUGUCAAGUUGUAGUGACGUUGAUCCCAUAGUAGUAUCUUCUCUGCAGGAGCAUCAGAGAUGUAAAUAUUGUCUUGGAACUGGUAUAACCUUUAUGUUCUCAACCCUUUUGAGCAUCAGAGAUACUCACUUUCAGUUUUAACUAGAAAAAUAAAUAAAUAGAAAUCAACUGUUUCUCCAAUGUAAAUCUGAUUUGACAACACCAUAGGAAUAUUAAUCAUGUCCAUAUUCUGAUUACUACUGCAUAAAUAGAUCUCCUCUAGAAAAGCGGCAACAUAGAAUUAGUACUACAUAUGUAUGUUUUCUAAUAAAACAAUUGUCCAAUAGGAUUAGGUUAGAGUCAAAUCAAACUUAGAUAUUAUUUAUUCUUUUAUUAAGUGAACUUUGGUGUUUGCAGCUUAUGGCUCAUCUUCUGAUGCAAUGACUAUAAUCCAACAAUGAUCUCCUAUUGUUAUAGAGCGUUUUACUGUACAUUUAAACUGUUUUGCUUCCUGUAGUAGUGCUCUACUUUUGAAUGUUUUGAGGAGAUCACAUUAAUUCUAUCAUUAAAAUGAUAAUUCUAAGUAGGGAAUGAUGAUUGAAUUUGCUAAGAACUCAGUUGAUUAAGCUACUGCCAGCGCCCAGCGGAAAGAAGCAUGUUAUAUUGUUUUCAAGAUUAAACUUUCGGGGGUGGCAGAGAAUUAAUGUACCUCCUUUGUGCUUUAUAGCUUUACAUGAUUUCUUCUGUUGGUAAAUAUGCAAGCAUUCUUUUUUAAUAUAAGUCAAUACUUACUUGCAAAGACAAUAUCAGUAGGAGUUGCAUUCUUUUGUAAUGUGUAAAAUGACAAAUUUUUCAGUUAUUGAUUUUAGCUUACGAUUGUGAUCAUUACUACAAAUUUGAGAAAAGAAAAAGGAAAAAAAAAAAAAAACCGAACUGUGGAAAAUUGAAUUUUCAUCCAACUCUUUAGCUGAUGGUCUGCAGACUGGAUUUGAAUCCAACAUGGCCUGAUAGAUUCAAACAAUAUGAUGCAGUCAGCAACUCCAUCUCAAUGUCCUUUUUAUUAGACCAAACCAACUUAAGAAUAAUAGGAUACUAAAUGGAUCUUUCCUUUGAAACAGAUUUCUUAUGAAAUAAGCUUACUGGAUCCAACAUUACUACCUAUGAAACGCAUAUGCAGAGUUUCUUAUUAAUUUUUUCUGUCUUAUAGCUACUUGCAAUUUUCAGAAAACCAUACUACAUGAAAGAUAUUACUGUGAAGUGUGAAUCUAUGAUAAGGGGUGAUUUUUAUGCAGUAGUGAUUCUGGAUUUUGAGCAAUGGAAGAACUCUAUGCAGUAAUGAUUCUGUUUGAAAGGCUUUGGUUUUUUAUGCCAAAAGUUGUGAAUGCUUCUUUAAUGCUGAUCAAGACAAGGAUUUGGCAAGGCCAUAGUAGACAUAAAGAAAAUGUUGGAGCAAUUUGAUAAGUUGCUCAAUGCCGACACCAUAAUUUUCAAAAAUGCUAGAUGCAAGGUGCUUUUUAGUAUUAACUUUUUGAAGUUAUUCAAGAAACUGAUGUUGGCCUGUUUGGAGAAGUCAGCACUCAUCACUGGAUCUUCUAUUAAAGCUUUCAUGUGGCUGGAGACCCAAGAAGCAAGUGUAGAGAGAAGUUGUAGUAACUCCUCACUAAUCUUGAAGAAAUUUAAGGUUAAAUCUCAUUGUUUGCACAACAGCCUAUUGCAAAGAAUAUGAGAUACAUUCAAAUGAUAAAGGUCUGAGAUGUAUUGCCUCCAGAGGAUAUCUCGAGGAUAUCCCAAAGUUGGAAUAUCGCUUGGAGACAGUUUUAAAUUGAUACACAAAUAAAAUCAUUUUUGUUGAUCUCGCAGCAUCGCGCGAGGGGGAUUAUCUAGUAU